GGCCCGUUAGCUCAGUUGAUUAGAGCGUCGUGCUAAUAACGCGAAGGUCGUGGGUUCGAUCCCCCCACGGGCCA
rnacentral:tRNA from 1 species